UUACUUUUUUAGCAAAACAAUGCAUUAAAUUUAGAAUUUAAAUAACUCCAA
rnacentral:tRNA from 2 species